rnacentral:rRNA from 1 species
UACAGAGGGGGCAAGCGUUGUUCGGAAUUACUGGGCGUAAAGGGCUCGUAGGCGGCCAACUAAGUCGGAUGUGAAAUCCCCAGGCUCAACUUGGGAACUGCAUCCGAUACUGGAUGGCUUGAAUUCGGGAGAGGGAUGCGGAAUUCCAGGUGUAGCGGUGAAAUGCGUAGAUAUCUGGAGGAACACCGGUGGCGAAGGCGGCAUCCUGGACCAUGACUGACGCUGAGGAGCGAAAGCCAGGGGAGCAAACGGG